UGAGGCUGAGUGGGAACCUUUGCCAAAAGAAUUCUGCUCUACAAUGGAUGGAUAAUCCCAACCAUGAAAUGGCUCUAGAAGGUUGUGAUUGCAGUAUCAAACCACAGCCUGUUACACCACCCUGAAAACAGCCUGACCUUUAGCAGAGGGUGAGCUCAGAGAGAUGAGAGUUUGCAGCGUCCAGCACUGACAUGUGUUAAUGCAUGUCCUGCUCAUCUUUAAAAGCAACCUAAACAGUUGUGGCUGGUGGGCUGAGCACAUGAGGGCUGCUGAGGGAAGGACUCUUCCUAGUGAGGUAAGUGUAAGGAUCCUUCCUAAACCACCAUCACACAUCAGUUAUAGGGAACUUGCAGCUUAAGAUGAAAAUAAAGUUCUUGUUAACCUUCAUGUUUGCAAAGACAACCUGAUACUGUCAUUUCUUUCCUGUCAAAGUUUGAGCUAGCUGCACCCUGCAGAAACUAGAGUCUGAUUUCUGCAGUUAAUAUCCCAAACUGAUUUAACAGCCCCUUCCUUGACACUAUAAACACUAUCAAGAAAGUGUCAUAGUAAAUUCAACCUUUCUGUGUACAUCCAUUGCGAACAGAAAACCAGUCGCAGUGUGUUUGCAUUUGCUCUAUGUUCAGGCUGUAGGAGGGAACUAAGUUUACAUCCAUAAAUCUCAGGAAGCAGCCUCUCCUGAAUACUCACCAGAUCCUAUAAGAGCACAGAUCAGCACCAUGGAAUUGUAUUUUAUUUCUGGAGCACUCCUGUCAUCUGAGAGCAGUCUGUGUAGAAUCUGAACAAGCUGAGCAUUUUCAAGAUCCUUUUCAGCAGUGACUGAAAUAAAGUGAAAAUUUUUAA